AUUGAACGCUGGCGGCAUGCCUUACACAUGCAAGUCGAACGGCAGCACGGGUGCUUGCCCCUGGUGGCGAGUGGCGAACGGGUGAGUAAUACAUCGGAACAUGUCCUGUAGUGGGGGAUAGCCCGGCGAAAGCCGGAUUAAUACCGCAUACGAUCUACGGAUGAAAGCGGGGGACCUUCGGGCCUCGCGCUAUAGGGUUGGCCGAUGGCUGAUUAGCUAGUUGGUGGGGUAAAGGCCUACCAAGGCGACGAUCAGUAGCUGGUCUGAGAGGACGACCAGCCACACUGGGACUGAGACACGGCCCAGACUCCUACGGGAGGCAGCAGUGGGGAAUUUUGGACAAUGGGCGAAAGCCUGAUCCAGCAAUGCCGCGUGUGUGAAGAAGGCCUUCGGGUUGUAAAGCACUUUUGUCCGGAAAGAAAUCCUUGGCCCUAAUACGGUCGGGGGAUGACGGUACCGGAAGAAUAAGCACCGGCCAACUACGUG
rnacentral:rRNA from 1 species